AGAUGGGAAGGUGACCUGGCUUUGACAUCUGUCAGCCCAAUGAUCAACAGGGCAGAUUUGGUCAACAUGGCUGACUACGCAAUUGUUGUCUUCCUCCUUUCUUCUUCGCUCUAGGUAGGUCCUUUCUAAAACUGUGUUCUUGAACCACACAGAAUUAUUGUUCUAAUGUCAAGGGGAUUUGAUUAAUAACUUUCCCCUGGUGGAAACUCUAGGUGAUCUCCCCAGGUCCACUUGCAGGAGGAGGAGCUAUGUUUUUAGGAGCCCUCUGGUUCAAGAGACUGGCAGUUUCCACUU
rnacentral:snRNA from 1 species